CCUACGGGAGGCAGCAGUGGGGAAUUUUGGACAAUGGGCGCAAGCCUGAUCCAGCAAUGCCGCGUGAGUGAAGAAGGCCUUCGGGUUGUAAAGCUCUUUUGUCAGGGAAGAAACGGUGGAGGUUAAUACCUUCUGCUAAUGACGGUACCUGAAGAAUAAGCACCGGCUAACUACGUGCCAGCAGCCGCGGUAAUACGUAGGGUGCAAGCGUUAAUCGGAAUUACUGGGCGUAAAGCGUGCGCAGGCGGUUGUGCAAGACAGAUGUGAAAUCCCCGGGCUCAACCUGGGAAUUGCAUUUGUGACUGUACGGCUAGAGUGUGUCAGAGGGGGGUAGAAUUCCACGUGUAGCAGUGAAAUGCGUAGAGAUGUGGAGGAAUACCGAUGGCGAAGGCAGCCCCCUGGGAUAACACUGACGCUCAUGCACGAAAGCGUGGGGAGCAAACAGGAUUAGAUACCCUGGUAGUCCACGCCCUAAACGAUGUCUACUAGUUGUCGGGUCUUUAUUGACUUGGUAACGCAGCUAACGCGUGAAGUAGACCGCCUGGGGAGUACGGUGCAAGAUUAAAACUCAAAUGAAUUGACCGGNNGAGAGNGCGAGACGACGACGAGGGAGGAGG
rnacentral:rRNA from 1 species